GUGGGGAAUUUUGGACAAUGGGCGCAAGCCUGAUCCAGCAAUGUCGCGUGCAGGAAGAAGGCCUUCGGGUUGUAAACUGCUUUUGUACGGAACGAAACGGUCCUGGUUAAUACCUGGGGCUAAUGACGGUACCGUAAGAAUAAGCACCGGCUAACUACGUGCCAGCAGCCGCGGUAAUACGUAGGGUGCAAGCGUUAAUCGGAAUUACUGGGCGUAAAGCGUGCGCAGGCGGUUUUGUAAGACAGGCGUGAAAUCCCCGGGCUCAACCUGGGAAUUGCGCUUGUGACUGCAAGGCUGGAGUGCGGCAGAGGGGGAUGGAAUUCCGCGUGUAGCAGUGAAAUGCGUAGAUAUGCGGAGGAACACCGAUGGCGAAGGCAAUCCCCUGGGCCUGCACUGACGCUCAUGCACGAAAGCGUGGGGAGCAAACAGGAUUAGAUACCCGUGUAGUCC
rnacentral:rRNA from 1 species